rnacentral:tRNA from 1 species
GCUCCGUUAGCUCAGUGGUAGAGCAGUGGUCUCUUAAACCAUUGGUCGUAGGUUCGAAUCCUACACGGAGCA